rnacentral:lncRNA from 15 species
AUGGACGAGAAAAAAGUCACCAAACUGUCUGAACAACGUUGCAAAUCAACACUGCAGGUUUCAGCUCCCUACCAACAUCUAGUCCUGACUGUUAACAACACAGCUAACAGAGCAACCUGCACAGCACAUGGAGGAUACCCUGAACCUAAAGUGUCAUGGACGGGUCUAAAGAAAUCCAGCAUUGCACAGCUGGACCUGCAGGAUGCUGAGACGUCCCUGCAGCAGGAUCCAACAGAGAAAACCUUCUCAGUCACAAGCUCUGUCAGUAUGAAGGAGUUCCAGUCUGUAACCUGCAUCAUCUUCAACCCUCGCACCAACCAGAGGAUUAAAGGAACUGCAGAGAUCAGUGAUUCUGAUAAAAGGUGUAUUCAGAAUCUACAAGACCCACCAAAUGCAAAUGAAGACCCAGCUGAAGGAAAUGUUCUUGAUCUGCUCAACGCGUCAGGACAAAAUCAACCUGAGGAAAAUAGUCCACUAAUGAGGAGGAAUGGUGCUGAAAGCUCGACUGAUGAGGAUGCUGCUACUGGUGGAGGAGGUGCUUCUGGUGGUGCUGAUGCAGAACAUGACAAAAGCAGUUAAAUGGAGAUUUAAUUGAAUUUUAUUUAUUUAUUUAUUUUUCUAUUUACACAUUUCUUGCAAAAUCAUUGUCUUCUUUUGAGUUUGUAUCUCUUUCUAAUCCGUCCUCCUGUGUUUCCUCUCUGUAAAUUGAGGAGAUAGAGUUUCCUUGUUUCAUUGUGGGUGCUGUUAUCAUUGAGUGUUUUAUUGAUUACAGUUAUUACUUUGUGUGUAUGGGGUUGUUUUUAAGGUGUGAAGCAUUUUGUUUGAAUGAAAAGCCUAUAUUAUUACAACCACUGACUGACUAUAUAAAUAAAGUAAGAAUCAACAGUAUGAAUCAUAACUGGGAUCAGAAUUGGUGCUGGAAGGGAGGCAAAAACAGGAGUUAAAGAACUACAGUAGUUUAAACUGAGAUAUUUUGAGAUAUGACUGCACAAAGUCUUUUGGGGGGUGUUUGCCUUCCUUAGAUAGGACAUGUCAAGAUGAAUAAGAAAAGGGGAGAGAGAGAGGAUGAGAUGCACACACACACACACACACACACACACACACACACACACACACACACACACACACACACACACACACACAAGUAUUAAGCUUUUUUAUAUAACAGCAGCUGCUUUUUUUCCACACUCUGUUCCUGACCCCCAAUCCCCCUGCCUCCUACUAGGGAAAAGCAUUACAGGUGCACAAUUUUAUUUGGUGUGAAGACUGGCCCCUCAAUUCAUUCAGCUGUAAUCAGUCCCACUACGAGGUUUUUUGUUUCUUUUUGUAUUACUGUAGGAUUUGGUACAUAUUUUGACAGAGUUGCAAAUAGGAUUUACAUCCACCUUCAUUCACUGCAGGCGCCAGGCUCCUCCUUCUCAUUUCCAGACAACAGAAGAGAUCUGACAUUUAGAAGAGGGGGAAUUACGACUGUCUACUGUAUAAAAAUGUACAGUGGCUUUAUUGACAUACAUUCCAUAGGUUAAACAGCUGCAAAAUAGGAGGCACACCCAGUAUUGCACUUCAUUAAAAGUUCUGGCCUCAAAACAUAACCCAGAAUAUCAAACAAAACUGAAGUGAAGAGUAGCAACUUCGGAAUACAGCUAUUUUGAAUAGUAUCAUUAUAUACAAGAUUAGAUAAAUCGUACACUAUUUUCCUC